UGGGAGUGAGAAUGUUGGCAUGAGUAGCGAGAUGUGGGUGAGAAUCCCACAGGCCGUAAACCCAAGGUUUCCAGGGGAAGGUUCGUCCGCCCUGGGUUAGUCGGGACCUAAGCUGAGGCCGAAAGGCGUAGGGGAUGGACAACAGGUUGAUAUUCCUGUACUACCGAUAACCGUUUGAGAGAAGGGAUGACACAGUAGGAUAAGCUAAGCACACUGUUGGUUAUGUGUGCCCAAGCAUUGAGGCAGUCAAAGUAGGCAAAUCCGCUUUGAUAAUGCUGGGAUGUGAUGGGGAGCGAAA
rnacentral:rRNA from 1 species